rnacentral:rRNA from 1 species
GACGUAGGGCGCGAGCGUUGUCCGGAUUUAUUGGGCGUAAAGGGUGCGUAGGCGGCGCGGUAAGUCGGAUGUGAAUCUCGGAGCUUAACUUCGAAACUGCAUUCGAUACUGCCGUGCUUGAGGACUGGAGAGGAGACUGGAAUUUACGGUGUAGCGGUGAAAUGCGUAGAUAUCGUAAGGAAGACCAGGUGGCGAAGGCGGUCUCUGACAGUUCCUGACGCUGAGGCACGAAGGUCAGGGGAGCAAACGGG